GUAUUGUCCAGGAGAGUGAAAAGGAUGCACUUAUACUGACAAUAGUGUCCAGGAGAAUGAACUGCUUUAUCCGAACAUACAUGAGAAGUUUGAAAAGAGAGUUUUAGACUUCAGUGCGGUGAGCAAGGCAUUUUCCCAAAUGCGCGGUGUUGUCCUUUUCAGUAAGCCACUGUAGGACUCUGCUCAUGGUAUUGUGUGAUAAUGCAGCCCAGCAAACCUUGUCUUCGUGCAGCCUAAAUUCGUGAGCAUGAGCAUCAUUCACAAGAACCUAGAACAACUGGAUUCAGAAGUGGCACACCACAUACAAAAAUGAAGCAUUGUGGGAGCAACAGCAACGAGCUAGACUAGCGCAGGGGAGAAGCAAGAUGAAAUUGAGCGUAGGAGACACUUCAGUGGCGGUGCCGCUUGUUUUUGGUCACCGGAGAUGACCUCCAGCUGCGGCUAGCAGAGGACCAUGACGGCCGAGUAAAGCAGAAGCCAAUUGCGAGGGGAAAAGGCUCGUGGAUGACCAGAAUUUCACCAUGAUGAUGUUGAUGGCUCGGGGAAUCAUGAGGAGGCACGACAGCGGCGAGCUCGAGCGGGGCCAGAGUUGGAGGAGACAGUGGAUUCGGUCGAUUCACUGCUUCGGGGCAAGCGUGAUUAAGUGUGGAGGUCCUGGUAUGCUGUAGUUGAUGGAGAUCUUGCGCGUGGCCGCCGUGGAGCUCCAGCUCGUCUCCUCCGUCGAACUCGUGCGCGUGGCCUUUGUUGAGCUCAAUCUCAAGGGAGACCUUCAAGAGGAAGACGGAGGAUGCGGAGGACACUGACCCAGAAGAGGAGCGCGUGUAGGCAGGGUGAUCCUCGACGAGCUCCUUCCUCGACCUCGUCGAUAGCGGACGGCGGGGAGGACGAGUGGAAGACGAGUCUUUGAAAUUCUAAAUUAAGGCCAAGUUUGAAACAUUUUAGAUGUAUUAGGGAUUUAAUUGCAAAAACAAGAAUGAACUGCGGGUUCGGCGUCUAAAUAUGGACGG